UGUGUCGCGUUUUAUUCCCUCCUCCCCCACUGAUUCAGUAGCAGGAAGGAGUUUUGAGAUGUCGCGUUUUAUUCCUUCCCCCCCACUGAUUCAGUAGCAGGAAGGAGUUUUGAGGUGUCGCGUUUUAUUCCCUCCUCCCCCACUGAUUCAGUAGCAGAAAGGAGUUUUGAGGUGUCGCGUUUUAUUCCCUCCCCCACUGAUUCAGUAGCAGGAAGGAGUUUUGAGGUGUCACGUUUUAUUCCUUCCCCCACUGAUUCAGUAGCAGGAAGGAGUUUUGAGAUGUCGCGUUUUAUUCCUUCCCCCCCACUGAUUCAGUAGCAGGAAGGAGUUUUGAUGUGUCGCGUUUUAUUCCCUCCUCCCCCACUGAUUCAGUAGCAGGAAGGAGUUUUGAGGUGUUACGAUAUCAUAGAGCCUUUUAGCGUCACAGAAUAACAGUCUACUGAUAGCAUUAAUACAACCUGUGUUGGUUUGUACAUAUACCAGUAACAGGAUCCAUAUUUACUUGUUUCUCCAUCAUGUCUUUUACGUUUGUAGGAGAAGUUGGUGUUUUAACUCUUAUUUUUGUCAGAUUAUCUGUCUCUGUGUGUGUAAGAUUUAUUGUUAAUAAUUGUAAAGGAUCAAAAUAAAUGGAGUUUGUGUUGA